rnacentral:rRNA from 1 species
UACCUUACUACAUGGAUAACCGUGGUAAUUCUAGAGCUAAUACAUGCUAAAAACCUCGACUUCGGAAGGGGUGUAUUUAUUAGAUAAAAAACCAAUGCCCUUCGGGGCUCUCGGUUGAUUCAUAAUAACUUAACGAAUCGCAUGGCCUUGCGCCGGCGAUGGUUCAUUCAAAUUUCUGCCCUAUCAACUUUCGAUUGUAAGGUAGUGGCCUACAAUGGUUGCAACGGGUAACGGGGUAUAAGGGUACGACUCCGGAGAGGGAGCCUGAGAAACGGCUACCACAUCCAAGGAAGGCAGCAGGCGCGCAAAUUACCCAAUCCCGACACGGGGAGGUAGUGACAAUAAAUACUGAUACAGGGCUCUUUUGGGUCUUGUAAUUGGAAUGAGAACGACGUAAACACCCUAUCGAGGAACAAUUGGAGGGCAAGUCUGGUGCAUUCGCGGCCAGCAGCCGCGGUAAUUCCAGCUCCAAUAGCGUAUAUUAAAGUUGUUGCAGUUAAAAAGCUCGUAGUUGAAACUUGGGCCUGGCUGUCCGGUCCGCCUCACCGCGUGCACUGGUUCGGCCGGGCCUUUCCUUCUGGGGAGCCGCAUGCCCUUCAUUGGGUGUGCCGGGGAACCAGGACUUUUACUUUGAAAAAAUUAGAGUGUUCAAAGCAGGCAUUUGCUCGGAUACAUUAGCAUGGAAUAAUAGAAUAGGACGUGUGGUUCUAUUUUGUUGGUUUCUAGGACCGCCGUAAUGAUUAAUAGGGAUAGUCGGGGGCGUCUGUAUUCAAUUGUCAGAGGUGAAAUUCUUGGAUUUAUUGAAGACAAACUACUGCGAAAGCAUUCGCCAAGGAUGUUUUCAUUAAUCAGGGAACGAAAGUUAGGGGAUCGGAGACGAUCAGAUACCGUCGUAGUCUUAACCAUAAACUAUGCCGACUAGGGAUCGGGCGGUGUUAUUAUUUUGACCCGUUCGGCACCUUACGAGAAAUCAAAGUUUUUGGGUUCUGGGGGGAGUAUGGUCGCAAGGCUGAAACUUAAAGACAUUGACGGAAGGGCACCACCAGGCGUGGAGCCUGCGGCUUAAUUUGACUCAACACGGGGAAACUCACCAGGUCCAGAUUUGAUAAGGAUUGACAGAUUGAGAGCUCUUUCUUGAUUUCAAAGGUGGUGGUGCAUGGCCGUUCUUAGUUGGUGGAGUGAUUUGUCUGCUUAAUU